GUCGCCAGUUGGUCGUCAUUUGGUCAGCGUGACAUUACUUGACAACUUCGUGAGGACGUCGAGGUAACGUUCCCUUUUCAGAAUUUUGGCUAAGUCACUUUAACGGUUAACUUCCAGCAGACGGACACGAAGGAAAAGGUCCUGACUGCCAAUGAACCAGGCAAUGAUUCACAGGUGGAGAGACAGUCUGGGCAGCACCAAGCAGACAACUAUUAUGAUUAUGAGUAGGGAUAAUUAUCGAGAACAGAAAUAACUGCAUAUCAUCCAAACCACCUCCAAAUGAAUGGCUGCAAGGAUCCAGGAUCAAGAGAUAAUCCAUCACGAAAACUGUGUUUCAUAGGAAUCAGCGAAUCCUGGGCCUGCCUGACCAUUCUGUUGCCCUGGAUGUGAAGACACGCUGGAACUGCAUUUCUCAUGGUUGAAAGAGUUGCGCAUCGAUAUCCAGACAUACAAGAAGCCUUCCUGGACCCACACAACAAAAUGCUCAGGAGGAGAGGCAGAUUCAAAGGAAAGGUGAUAAAUGAGGAAGUCUGGGAAUGACUGAAGAAGGCAGCCGUGAGGGAAGGCAGUAAUCAUCAGAACGUGCCAGAGAAUGAUAUUGGCAGUACAGGCUCAAUAUGGCGAAGAGGAGGAAGAACAUAUUUGACAUCAGAGUACUUGGGUACUAUGGUCCUUUGGUAAUGACAAUAUUGUUUAGGUUUUGCUUUUGAUAGUGAAGCAGUAUUGAAGCACAUCACCAUCAGAUAUUUGUAGCAGGUGUUUCAUACACAGGACACUCAGGAAACAAAUUAACUUAAAGUAAUAAAGAAGUCACUACUGAAUUGUUUCCUUUCUUAUCAGUGUCUUUUUUGUACCAGAUUAUAGGGAGUUGUCAAUGAGUAUUGAUUAAUUAUUGAUCAUUUUUACAGAUAAAAUUAACUAUACCCAUCAAUAAUGAGAAACUUUUCAGUAAAAUUAAAACAGUUCAGUAAAAUUUACAUGAUUUAUGUAUUGAUGUGUUGAAUUAUCUGUGCUCAUGACUUGGUAACACUUUGCAUGGUUAAAGAAUAGGUGUAAUGUUCAAAAUGUAUU